rnacentral:siRNA from 1 species
UCCGUAAGAGGUGUUAUUAGU